GCCCUGGAUCCCACAGCCGCGGUAAUACGGAGCGGAAGGUGCGCGUAUCGGAUUACUGGGCGUAAAGCGCACGCAGGCGGUUUGUUAAGUCAGAUGUGAAAUCCCCGGGCUCAACCUGGGAACUGCAUCUGAUACUGGCAAGCUUGAGUCUCGUAGAGGGGGGUAGAAUUCCAGGUGUAGCGGUGAAAUGCGUAGAGAUCUGGAGGAAUACCGGUGGCGAAGGCGGCCCCCUGGACGAAGACUGACGCUCAGGUGCGAAAGCGUGGGGAGCAAACAGGAUUAGAUACCCUGGUAGUCCACGCCGUAAACGAUGUCGACUUGGAGGUUGUGCCCUUGAGGCGUGGCUUCCGGAGCUAACGCGUUAAGUCGACCGCCUGGGGAGCAUGGCCGUUUUAGU
rnacentral:rRNA from 1 species